rnacentral:rRNA from 1 species
CAUCCAGACUCCUACGGGAGGCAGCAGUGGGGAAUAUUGCACAAUGGGGGGAACCCUGAUGCAGCGACGCCGCGUGGGUGAAGGAGUAUUUCGGUAUGUAAAGCCCUAUCAGCAGGGAAGAACAAUGACGGUACCUGACUAAGAAGCACCGGCUAAAUACGUGCCAGCAGCCGCGGUAAUACGUAUGGUGCAAGCGUUAUCCGGAUUUACUGGGUGUAAAGGGAGCGCAGGCGGCGCGUUAAGCCUGGUGUGAAAGCCCGCGGCCCAACCGCGGGACUGCAUUGGGAACUGGCGCGCUGGAGUGCCGGAGGGGUAGGCGGAAUUCCUAGUGUAGCGGUGAAAUGCGUAGAUAUCAGGAGGAACACCGGCGGCGAAGGCGGCCUGCUGGACCGUGACUGACGUUGAGGCUCGAGAGCGUGGGGAGCAAACAGGAUUAGAUACCCUUGUAUA